rnacentral:misc_RNA from 1 species
CGCACAUUGCGCCCUAUAGUAUUCUGUAGGGCAUGCCUGUUCGAGCGUCAUUUAACCCCUCAAGCCCAGCUUGGUAUUGGGUGCUUGUCCCGCCUCUCGCGCGGCGACUCACCUCAAAGUCAUUGGCAGCCCGCAAUCGCCGGCCGUGAGCGCAGCACAAACGCGCUUGUGGACCCCGGCGGCUCGGCUCUCCAAAAGCUUAUUUCAACCACAAUUGACCUCGGAUCAGGUAGGGAUACCCGCUGAACUUAA